AUUCUGAGUAAUCUGAAAUGUGUGUUCGUUGCUUGUCUCGUAAAUUUUUAAUUUUGAUUUAUUAGAUUACAAAAGUAAAAUUUAACCAUUAAACUAUCAAGAAAAGAGUCUUUUUUUUAUCCCAUAAUUAUCAUAAAACAAAUUUAUCUUGUCGAGCAAAAAAUCUGUGACAGUUAAAUUACCGUUGCCGCGCGUUUAGCUACUAUCAUUUAGUUUGACACUUUUGACAGUGACAGUCAAUUAACCUUCAAAAAUGUUCAGGGGAUUUGUGUCUUUUUUGAUCGGCCUUUAUGCUGGAAUAUAUCUAAGCCAAAAUUAUGAUGUUCCUAAAGUUGAUGAUCCAACAGCUCUAUAUGAUAAAAUAAAGGAAUUUGCAGACAGCCAUAGGAAAAAAUAAUCUAAGCUUAAUUACAUGUUUUUAUUAAUUUUAAGAACUACACCUAUUAUAAAUAAAAAAUAUUACAAUUAA
rnacentral:lncRNA from 1 species